rnacentral:rRNA from 1 species
UACGGAGGAUGCGAGCGUUAUCCGGAUUUAUUGGGUUUAAAGGGAGCGUAGGCGGGAGAUUAAGUCAGCUGUGAAAGUUCGGGGCUCAACCUUGGAAUUGCAGUUGAAACUGGUUUUCUUGAGUGCGGCAGAGGCAGGCGGAAUUCGUGGUGUAGCGGUGAAAUGCUUAGAUAUCACGAAGAACCCCGAUUGCGAAGGCAGCUUGCUGGAGCGUAACUGACGCUGAUGCUCGAAAGUGUGGGUAUCAAACAGG